AUAACGUAGCGAAAGCUACGCUAAUACCGCAUACGAUCUACGGAUGAAAGCGGGGGAUCGCAAGACCUCGCGCGAUUGGAGCGGCCGAUAUCAGAUUAGGUAGUUGGUGAGUAAAGGCUCACCAAGCCGACGAUCUGUAGCUGGUCUGAGAGGACGACCCAGCCACACUGGGACUGAGACACGGCCCAGACUCCUACGGGAGGCAGCAGUGGGGAAUUUUUGGACAAUGGGGCGCAAGCCUGGAUCCAGCAAUGCCGCGUGCAGGAUGAAGGCCUUCGGGUUGUAAACUGCUUUUGUACGGAACGAAACGGUGAGCUCUAAUACAGUUUGCUAAUGACGGUACCGUAAGAAUAAGCACCGGCUAACUACGUG
rnacentral:rRNA from 1 species